GCUGGGCCAGAACCGCGACCUCCGCAACCUUGAGCGGCAUCCGUGGAGUGCGCCUGCGCAGCUACGACCGCAGCAGGAAAGCGCCGCCGGCCAGGCCCAGCUGUGGCCGGACAGGGACUGGAAGAGAGGACGCGGUCGAGUAGGUGUGCACCAGCCCUGGCAACGAGAGCGUCUACCCCGAACUCUGCUGGCCUUGAGCUGGGGUGAAGAAUGGGGCAUGGGUGGCUACGUAAAGAUGGCCAAAGACCGGAGAAACCAUUGUGGAAUUGCCUCAGCAGCCAGCUACCCCACUGUGUGAGCUGGUGGACGGUGAUGAGGAAGGACUUGACUGGGGAUGGCGCAUGCAUGGGAGGAAUUCAUCUUCAGUCUACCAGCCCCCGCUGUGUCGGAUACACACUCGAAUCAUUGAAGAUCCGAGUGUGAUUUGAAUUCUGUGAUAUUUUCACACUGGUAAAUGUUACCUCUAUUUUAAUUACUGCUAUAAAUAGGUUUAUAUUAUUGAUUCACUUACUGACUUUGCAUUUUCGUUUUUAAAAGGAUGUAUAAAUUUUUACCUGUUUAAAUAAAAUUUAAUUUCAAAUGUAGUGGUGGGGCUUCUUUCUAUUUUUGAUGCACUGAAUUUUUGUGUAAUAAAGAACAUAAUUGGGCUCUAAGCCAU
rnacentral:lncRNA from 1 species